rnacentral:rRNA from 1 species
GACGAACGCUGGCGGCGUGCUUAACACAUGCAAGUCGAACGGAAAGGCCCUGCUUUUGUUGGGUGCUCGAGUGGCGAACGGGUGAGUAACACGUGAGUAACCUGCCCUUGACUUUGGGAUAACUUCAGGAAACUGGGGCUAAUACCGGAUAGGAGCUCCUGCUGCAUGGUGGGGGUUGGAAAGUUUCGGCGGUUGGGGAUGGACUCGCGGCUUAUCAGCUUGUUUGUGGGGUAGUGGCUUACCAAGGCUUUGACGGGUAGCCGGCCUGAGAGGGUGACCGGCCACAUUGGGACUGAGAUACGGCCCAGACUCCUACGGGAGGCAGCAGUGGGGAAUAUUGCACAAUGGGCGGAAGCCUGAUGCAGCAACGCCGCGUGCGGGAUGACGGCCUUCGGGUUGUAAACCGCUUUCGCCUGUGACGAAGCGUGAGUGACGGUAAUGGGUAAAGAAGCACCGGCUAAAUACGUG